rnacentral:tRNA from 1 species
GGUCUCUUGGCCGAGUGGCUAGGCACCGGUCUGCAAAACCGUCUACUCCAGUUCGAAUCUGGAAGAGACCUCAA